ensembl:lncRNA
GUCGAAAACCUGCCCCUUCCUUUCGUUGCUACGGACUGCAGUGUGUAGUGUGCCAUCAGGGCUCUCAUCUGUGUAACAUGGCAGUUUAAUUUAGCCCCGAUCGGAGAGCCAGCUGCUGCUGUCACAACUAUUAAAGAAGCUAUAUGAUGUUCCUAUGUGCCGUCAUGAGUAUUAUGUCAUUGGAUCACGGGUCCUUGAUCUUGCAUGCAUUAAGGCAAGCUGAGAGCUGAGUGCGUCCUGAGGCUUGGGGGGGGGGUUCUUUGCUGCAUCUUUGGUUUUACUUAAUUAAGGGUCGUCAUUAUUGCUGUGUUUAUUUGCAGUGAAUUUUGUGGGUCAUACAAGCCUGUAGCCUUUAGUGCUGUCGUACUAGCCUGCCCUUCAUACAGGAAGCCUCAGUCCUCCUAUGAUUAUUGUUAACUUCCUUUUGUGACUGUUUUAUUUGACCAAUGCCUGACUGUGUUGGUUGCUUCUUUUAAAAUAAUUAUUGGCCAGUCUUUUUAACUUCAAAAUAAAAUGUAUUUUUGUAUGGAAACCCAUGCCUCUUGCCUGUUCUAAGUGGCAGUGUUACGCCACGGCCAGCAGAGGGCACUGCGGUACGGCCGCUGACUGGUCACGUGACUCUUUUGUUUUCGUUCAC